rnacentral:rRNA from 1 species
UACGAAGGGGGCUAGCGUUGCUCGGAAUUACUGGGCGUAAAGCGCACGUAGGCGGCUUUCUAAGUCGGGGGUGAAAUCCUGGAGCUCAACUCCAGAACUGCCUUCGAUACUGCAAAUCUCGAGUCCGGAAGAGGUGAGUGGAAUUCCUAGUGUAGAGGUGAAAUUCGUAGAUAUUAGGAAGAACACCAGUGGCGAAGGCGGCUCACUGGUCCGGUACUGACGCUGAGGUGCGAAAGCGUGGGGAGCAAACAGG